rnacentral:rRNA from 1 species
UACGUAGGGGGCAAGCGUUGUCCGGAAUCAUUGGGCGUAAAGAGCGUGUAGGCGGCUCGAUAAGUCUGCUGUGAAAGUCCAGGGCUCAACCCUGGAAGGCCGGUGGAAACUGUCGGGCUAGAGUCCGGAAGAGGCGAGUGGAAUUCCCGGUGUAGCGGUGAAAUGCGCAGAUAUCGGGAGGAACACCCGUAGCGAAGGCGGUUCUCUGGGCCAAUACUGACGCUGAGGAGCGAAAGCGUGGGGAGCAAACAGG